CGGCACUCUAUAGCUUUUGUUUCCAUAGCAACUACGGUGGACGCGAAUGUACAAACAUGAGGUGAACAGAGAAGAAGGACGAAAUGUGUUUAUGCUCUGUCGUCAUCAUUAGUAUUUUUAUACCGUUGCAAUGACACCGAUAUAGUUUACUUCAGCCUCUACUGUUGCUUCGCUCACAAAUACCCCGUUUUCCCAGGGCGUUGGUAGAUUUGUUCCCGGACUUAUAAUGAUGGAUGACAUCGAACAGGCAAUAGAUGAGGAGCUGAUGAAAUUAAACCUACAUCCUUCUGAAAAUGAUUCAGAAUCAGACGAUGAUAACUUCACUGUUUUGGAUGGAAAUACUUCUCAAGCCAGAACCUGUCUCACCUUAAUCACAAUGAACCAGCUUCAGUUUUCACAGACGACCCCAUGAAGUGGAAAGACCGAGUGAGUCAUGGUUAUUUGUUUGCAGUUAAAUGGAAAUGGUAUUCCAUCUGAGGCAUAACAGAG
rnacentral:lncRNA from 1 species